rnacentral:rRNA from 1 species
GAACGCUAGCUACAGGCUUAACACAUGCAAGUCGAGGGGCAGCAUGAUCUUAGCUUGCUAAGGUUGAUGGCGACCGGCGCACGGGUGAGUAACGCGUAUCCAACCUGCCCCACAGUAGGGGAACAGCCCGGCGAAAAGUCGGAUUAAUGCCCUAUGCGCUCCAUUGCAGGCAUCUAACGUGGAGCAAAGAUUUAUCGCUGUGGGAUGGGGAUGCGUCUGAUUAGGCAGCAGGCGGGUAACGGCCCACCUGGCCCACGAUCAGUAGGGGUUCUGAGAGGAAGGUCCCCCACAUUGGAACUGAGACACGGUCCAAACUCCUACGGGAGGCAGCAGUGAGGAAUAUUGGUCAAUGGCCGCGAGGCUGAACCAGCCAAGUAGCGUGCAGGAUGACGGCCCUAUGGGUUGUAAACUGCUUUAGCCGGGGAAUAAAGUGCGGUUCGUGAGCCGUUUUGCGUGUACCCGAUGAAUAAGGACCGGCUAAUUCCGUGCC